rnacentral:rRNA from 1 species
GACGAACGCUGGCGGCGUGCUUAACACAUGCAAGUCGAACGCUGAAGCUCAGCUUUUGUUGGGUGGAUGAGUGGCGAACGGGUGAGUAACACGUGAGUAACCUGCCUCCUUCUUUGGGAUAACGCCCGGAAACGGGUGCUAAUACUGGAUAUUCACUGGUCUUCGCAUGGGGGUUGGUGGAAAGGGUUUUUCUGGUGGGGGAUGGGCUCGCGGCCUAUCAGCUUGUUGGUGGGGUGAUGGCCUACCAAGGCUUUGACGGGUAGCCGGACUGAGAGGGUGACCGGUCACAUUGGGACUGAGAUACGGCCCAGACUCCUACGGGAGGCAGCAGUGGGGAAUAUUGCACAAUGGGCGCAAGCCUGAUGCAGCGACGCCGCGUGAGGGAUGGAGGCCUUCGGGUUGUGAACCUCUUUCGCUCAUGGUCAAGCCGCAACAAUGGUUGUGGUGAGGGUAGUGGGUAAAGAAGCGCCGGCUAACUACGUG